AUGGGGAUCACCUCUACUGACUUGUGCCACAGUCUUUGCAAUCUGAUCUUUAAAUCCUCGUACCGUGUAAACUUUUCCAGUUGCUUCUCGUCAAUUCUGCUGUCGCCUGGGAUUGCAACAUCGACGAUCCAUACUUUGGGUUUUUUUGUUGUGUUAUUACUAUGUUUAUACAAACUUAUGGUGCAACUACUGUAGUAAUAUUUACACAUCUCUAAAAGGCUAUGGAGAGGUGAACAGGCACAAGAAAAGAUUACUACCGGUAAGAUAAUUAACAGCCAGAACCACUCCCCCUGAAGGAAAGUUAUAAUUUUAGGCUUAAAUUAAAAGGAAAGUAAAGGGGUUGGAAUGUGAUGGGUUGGAAAUGUAGACUGACCCCUAACAUCAAGUUUGCCAGGAGCGAAUGUGUGGCAGCUUAUGGGUAUCUUAUCACAAUGUGUGUGAGGUAUGUGGUGUUAACGGAGUCACUACAAGGCCAUUGCAAAACAGGGAAAUGUGGUGUGAAACAGGUUUAUUUAUUUUUGUCAGUGUAGGAAAGCCCUUUGACAGCCUGAGAAGUUCUGCUCAUCGUGGUUAAUUUGCAAUGGCCACUUCCCCUACAUUUAAAUGUUAUACCAUUUGAUUCAACACUUACUUAUGUGGAAGACAUGGAUUUGCCUCUUUGAGCACACUUCUUUGAGAGUUUCCUUUACAUUUGCCAAGUAAAAGUGUUCAGGGGAAGAAUAAGUUAAGAAGACAGUUGACAUAAUUCAAAACAUGGGUAUGUGCAGAGCUUUGAACACUUAUUUUCCGAAACUCUGGGUAUGUGUUGGAGGAUGAAGUUUCAAAUGGGAAGGCAGAUUUACAAGGCAGAAAAAAUAUUUGAUUCUUACACUGAGUAUGCCUGCCACCUCUGGAAAAUUUUCCAGAUUUCUUAAAAAGGCCUCCCUUCGUUGACUAUUAAUGACACAGAUAAGUUAGUACUAUUAAUGACUAGAAAAUGUAAACAGUGGCACCAGGCCAUGAAUACAACACAGAUGACAUUGAUGUGAAUCUUUCUGCCAAUAUAAAUAUUGCACAAUUUCAUCAGAUUGUGCUGAAUAAAUUUUCUGAGAUAAAGAUCCAGAAAAAGCACUUAGAAACAUGUCAACAAUUCCUCAUCCCAAGCACUGUCAGCUUUCUUUAGCAGAUGAGAGAUACAGACCACAACUCUUUGGCAAUUUCUCCUGUGAAAGACGAGGUGGCCAAAGAGACAUGGCAGAAAACUGUAAGUCUGUGUUAACCAUCAGCAACUCUAUUCUUUCAUGGAACCACCAAAUCUACUAGCUUGCUUCACUAUAUAGCUAGGCCAGCCUUCUGUAGAUUGCAUUGAACUUACUGGACCAGUACAGGAGUGCAACACAUUUUACAAAGCUCCCGU
rnacentral:lncRNA from 1 species